GCCCUUUGCAAGGUGGCGGCAGCGGAAACGCCCGCACGGUUUCUUGUUGAACCGAGGACACCUAAACAGGGGGCAUUU
rnacentral:sRNA from 1 species